ensembl:lncRNA
UGCAUUACCACCGACCAGUCCUCAGCCGGCAACAUGAAGCUGGGUGGCCUCUGCCUCCUGCUCCUCCUCGCCGUCCUUCUCACCCUCAAUGCAGAGUUCCAAGCAGUUGAUGUAGGUAUCUGUGUGACGGAGUGCAAGGUAGACCAGGACUGUGGGGCAGGAAGACGAUGCACCAGCAAUGGAUGUGGCCGGGUCUGCUCCCCAGUCCGGCGAAGAGAGGCCUGCGAGCACCAGUGCAGAGAAGACAGGGACUGUGGGAGUGGACAUCCGUGCGUGAGGAAGGGCUGUGGGCACGUCUGCGCCCCCGUCCAUCAAGUCGGUAUCUGUGUGACGGAGUGCAACGUAGACCAGGACUGUGGGGAAGGAAGACAAUGCACCAGCAAUGGGUGUGGCCGUGUCUGCUCCCCAGUCCAGCAAGAAGAUGUAGGUAUCUGUGUGACGGAGUGCAAGGUAGACCAGGACUGUGGGGAAGGAAGACGAUGCACCAGCAAUGGGUGUGGCCGUGUCUGCUCCCCAGUCCAGCAAAAAGAGGCCUGCGAGCACCAGUGCAGAGAAGACAGGGACUGUGGGAGUGGACAUCAGUGCGUGAGGAAGGGCUGUGGGCACGUCUGCGCCCCCGUCCAUCAAGUCGAUGUAGGUAUCUGUGUGACGGAGUGCAAGGUAGACCAGGACUGUGGGGAAGGAAGACGAUGCACCAGCAAUGGAUGUGGCCGUGUCUGCUCCCCAGCCCAGCAAAGAGAGGCCUGCGAGCACCAAUGCAGAGAAGACAAGGACUGUGGGAGUGGACAUCAGUGCGUGAGGAAGGGCUGUGGGCACGUCUGCUCCCCCAUCCCUCAAGUAGGUAUCUGUGUGACGGAGUGCAAUGUAGACCAGGACUGUGGGGCAGGAAGACGAUGCACCAGCAAUGGAUGUGGCCGUGUCUGCUCCCCACCCCAGGGAGGAGGUAAGGCCGAGAGUCCUGUGGGCACUUGAGCUUGGUCCUGCCCACCCUUUCCAAACUUGUUCAACAGUAAUGAACCCUUGAGUAUGGUUGUGAGAGUUUUCAUCAUAAGAUGUAAAGUAAAUGGGAUUCUUGGACUUAUCCAUCACCAUCUAUUGCUUUCAGUCAUUCUCAACUUUUUUCAUCAUGGGGAUUUCUUUUUAAGAAUAACUCUUGGGGGAGUUCCCAUUGUGGCACAGAAGUAUUCAAUCCAACUCGUAUCUAUGAGGACGUGGGUUGGAUCCCUGGCUUUGCUCAGUGGGUUAAGGAUCUGGCGAUGCCGUGAUCUGUGAUGUAGGUCGCAGACACAGCUAGGAUCUGGCAUUGCUGCGGCUGUGGCAUGUAGGCUGGCAACUGCUGCUCUGACUAAACUCCUAGCCUGGAAACAUCCAUACGCUGCAGGUGCCACCCCCCCCCCAAAAAAAAACCAAAAAAACUCUUUUAAGUUCCCUGACGGCUCAGUGGGUUAAAGAUCCAGUGUUGUCACUGCCGUGAUGUGGGUUUUGCUUCCUGCCCAGAAAUCUUCCACGUGCCAUGGGAGUGGCCAAAAAAAAAAAAAAAAGAAUAACUUAAUGUUUUUAUACCCCAUAUAUAUAUAUAUGGUUGAAAACCAAGACUCUCCUUUAAUUUUUUCCUUUUUUAAAGACUAUUUUUAAUUAAAUUAAUUAAAAUCUGCUCCUUAAUUUUUUCAUAUCUCUCCCCUUUCCUCUCCUUUCUCUCCCUCCCUGCCUUCUCCCUCCUUCCUCUGAUACCCCUUCCCCACCCCGCUUCCUUAUUCGCCAGAAGGACUUUCCCCUCUUCCAAGGGAUGAUAACUCACAUCAUGUCCUGUGUCUUCUCUGUGCUCUGAGUUCUAAGCCUUAUAUAUGUGAAGAGGCACUUCUGAAAUUUAAAAAACAUUUUCAUUCUCAGAAAAGCCUGUUGUCUAAUUUGAAAGUCACUGUGGAGCCCUGGCCCCUUUAUUCCAGGCAGGUGUGCCUUCCCCAGGAACCACAGGCUGCAAUUGCCUCACUGAGUUGUGGGGGCUGGCGGGGGGGUGGGCAUUGGGCAGCCAGAAACUAGGAAGAGUCAGGAACAAAAGAUGCAUUGGAUCAACAUCUCAGGAUAAAAUCAUCUCAUUAUGUCAUAUACAUUGUAAAAGCAUUCUUGAUACUGUAAAGUGCUACAAAGUCUGUGAUUUUUUUUGUAGUGGUAGAUACUUUAUAAAUUCUGUAAUUUGUUAAAGUGUAAAAAUGCAGACACUACCUCUUAGGAAUUGCUCCGUUCAUUCUUUGCUGUAGCCUCUUCCUGGCAUCUGCUCCUGAGACUUUUUUUUUUUUUUUUUUUUUUUUAAGCUCUUUAGAGCUGCACCUGCGGCAUACGAAAGUUCCCAGGCUAGGGUGGAAUCGGAGCUGCAGCUGCCGGCCUACACCACAGCCACAGCAAUGCAGGAUCUGAACCGAAUCUGCGGCCUACAGCACAGCUCAUGGCAACACUGGAUCCUUAACCCAUUGAGUGAGGCCAGGAAUCAAACCUGCAUCCUCAUGGAUCCUAGUCGGGUUCAUAAACUGCUGAGCCAUGACGGGAACUCCCUGAGACCUUUUUUUGUUUUUCUCUCUUUGUUUUUUGGUGUGUGUGUGUGUGUGUUUGGCUCUUUUUUAAAUUUUUAAAAAUUCUAUUGAAGUAUAUUUGAUUUACUAUGUUGUUGUGUUAACGUCUGCGGUUACAACAGAAGUGAUUCAAUUAUACAAAUACACAUAUCCACUCUUUUCCAGAUUCUCUUCCCACAUAGGUUAUCACAGAAUAUUGAGUAGAUUUCUCUGUGCUCUCCAGUAGGUCCCCAUUGACCUAAUGUUUGAUGGAUCUUCUCUGGCAGACCUCUGUGAGAUCCAGUGCAGGAGAGACUUAGAUUGUGGGGCUAGGAGACAGUGCAUCAGGAAGGGCUGUAGCCAAUUCUGCUCCCCUAUCCCUGAAGCACGUAAAACCUGGAGCCUUGCCUGAUUCCCCAACCAGGUGUACCAGGGUCACUCCUGCCUGGCCUUUCCACAACUGUGCUGCUGACCAGAAAUGGGAUGGAAACCCCUCAGGGUCCCCGGGGCAUCUCCUCCACUCUUGCCCCUACAGAGGGAAUCAGGUCAGAGGGCUGUGUGCCCAGCAUCUCAUCAAUAAAGACCCCUUCAAAAGAUCUUUAAUAAUUUCC